rnacentral:lncRNA from 1 species
AAAUACACAAUCCACAGUCCAUCGCCAAUUUCUUUGAUCUGCAAGUCGAAAUUCACCAUCUCUUGUGAGGUUUGUUAUGGGUUCAUGGACAAUGGCCGGUGUUGGUCCCAUGCUGAACAGGUCUUGCUUUGGUCUGUGGUGGUGUUGGAUCGAUUGGAUUGUAAUCGUUAUUGUUCUAUUUUUUUGCAUAUUGGGUCAUGCUCUAAUUUAUAUAUCAGAUUUGAUUGUUAUUGCUUAGAAACUGAUUUAUUGAUUUUGAGUUUUAAAUCUUCACUAUCUAGAUUCGCCGACAUCUAUAGUGCAAUUUUGGAUCUAAGCAGGUAAGAGUUUGAAGAUUUAUUUUUUCCCCAUAACUGAUUAUGUGGACGGAAGUCAUGGUGGUUUUCCCUGCUGAUUUCUUACGUGUUUAUUACCCUAUCCCCUCUAUUAAAUCAGUUAUGGGUGUUUUUGUUAGAUUUGUUUACCUUAGUUCAAAUGGCUUUAACUGUGUUUUUCGGCAUCUUUGCUGGUUUUAUCAUCGGAAAUUUCUCUUUUUUGGAUUUAGUUAUACAUUGAUAUAUGCUAUUCAUGGGUGGUGUGUUUGGUUGAAAUCAUCCAGUGACUAGAAGCCGCUUGAUCCCAUUCUUGAUGGUGGUGGUUCACGGCGGCGCCGAUGGAAUUGGGUGGUGAGAUUUAUAGGAUUUUUCAAGGAGAGGAGGGUAGAAAGAUGAAACUUAGAAAAAAAAGAACAUAAUUAUUUGCGAUGAUUUAGAAAUUAAGGAGUGGAUUUUUAACAAGUUUUGAUUAAAUAGUUCACAAGGUAAAAAUGAUAAAAUACUGUUAUUUAGACAUUUUGGAAAAAUUAAUUAUCAAACAACAUUUAUUCAUUCAGUUACAAUUUUAAACAAACCCUCUACAUUAUUUAGAUGUCUAAACUAUCCAAAUCUUAACACUUAAUUUUAUCAAACACCACCUUAGUCUCCGACUCUCUGGCCUUCGCCUCUCAAUCUCUUACGGUCUCACCGUACCCUUGGUUCGGCCUUCGCAAAUCGCAUCCCCGCGUCUCGGUGGGUAUUUGGCAGUUCUCUUGCAAACUAUUUGGUACUAAAAAAUUUAACCUCUGUUUUUUUGUCUCUAGCUUCGAUUUAGUACUAAUAUAUUUAUGUUGAUCUUGAUUACAUGUUUAAUUAUUAGACUAUGACUAGUUUUUUCAAGUUUUCUAUUGUUUAUGGACAUAUAAAGCUAAAAGCGUAAUAUAUUUGUGUUUCCUUCCUGAAAAAUCAAUUUAGAUGGUGGUAACAUGAUAACAUCUAUCACCUGAAACUAUAACUUUGAUUCCUUGAAUUCAAACUUUCCUUUGUCAAUAUGUGAAUUUGUUUAUCAAGAUGACCCAAGUACCCAAUUGUCCUGCUAUGGGAUAUUUUAACAAUUAGACUUAUAUAAGUGUUUACUUGUGUGAUAUUAUAGCUUUUAAUGUUAAGAUUUCAGUAAAUCAAUUUGGGGUGUUUGGUUAUAUUUCCAUAAAUGUUCAGAAAAGUCUUAGCUUCCCCCUAAUGCGGAAUUAAAGAGACAAAUUUGGAACUACAUUUGCAAGAAUCUGUACAAUUUAAUACAGAAGAAUCUUAGAAAAGGUCUUAGAUUGUGAUGAACUGCAACAUAAGAUCUCAUUAUAAUUGGCCUCAGAUUCUUUCCGGCUAUUCUAGUCAUUAUCCAGUAAGAGCUAUUAUAGUCAAUGUUAUCUUAUAUAAAGCAGUUUGGGAAUGUCAUAUUCAUUAUCAAUAUAUACAUAUUAGGGGCUAAGUAUAUUUAUCAUUCUUUUUAUAAUUUGUAUUUUUAUUUUACUUUUUGUAUUUACACUUACUGGCUGCUGUAUUGUGCAUGUAAUGGGUGACUAUAGGAACUAAAAAUUCUGGUUGGAGUGCUCUUUUCUAUUUGGUGGUUUUUGGGCAGCUCAGUUUGGAGUGGUCAUGUAUCAAUCUUUGGGAGGUUUUUAUAUGAUUUACUCGGCUUUUGUUUUUUUUUUGUUACUCUUUUUCCUUCUUUUUUUCCCUCAUAAGCUACUGAAAACUAAUACAGCUGUGGGAUGUUUUGUUUGUGUAUCAUGAUGGUUUAUAUUUAGUUUCUUGUGUAAGUUAUAGCCUUUAUUUAAUUUUAUUGGUUGUAUUACCUGGGGUAUGUAGUAUGCUCAUUGUGAACUUACUGGGAUAUCUAAGAUGAUACAUACACUGACUCAAUGGAUAAAUGAUUUAUUUAUGCAGUUAGUAGGAUAUCUCUUGUUCGCUUAUGUUGCAUGUUGUUGUUGUUGUUGCUCGUUGAUGUUGUUGUUCAUGUUGCUGUUACAAUGAUCUUUCAUUUUGUUUGUUCAUGUUGUUGUUGCAUUGCUGGCUGCUAGCUACUGAAAAGCCUACAAUUUCCUACUCAUGUUCAUGUUGCUGUUAGUUGUUGUUGCAUAUUGGAUGUUGCUAGAUUAUACAAUAAAACCUCUAUUUAGGAAUAGGCUUGGGAUCAAACUAUUUGUAUUCUAAUUGAGAGGUUAUUACUAAAUAGAGGUAUUGGUACAAAAUAAUUUUUGAACACCCAAAAAUAUACACUUUAACAAAAAUAUCAAUAAAAACUCCCUAAUAAAAAGUAAAUGUAGGGUUUUUGGAAAAAAAUUAAAGAAAACAUAAAUUAUUUAGAUUUUCAAAUUAGAAAAAUGUAGUCUUUUAUAGAAAAUGUAGUCUUUUAUAGAAAAAUGUGGUCUUUUAUAGGAAAUAUAGUAUUUUAUAGGAAAAUGUAGUCCUUUAUAGGAAAUGUAGUCUUUUAUAAGAAAAUGUAGUCUUUUAUAGAAAAUGUAGUCUUUUAUAAAAAAUGUAGUCUUUUAAAAUUAAUAUUAAAAUUAAUAUUGUCUCUCUCUCGCUCAUAUAUAUAUAUAUAUAUAUAUAGGGAGAGAGAGUGUGAGACCCCAAAUUUUAUGAAUAAAUAUUUAAAUUUCUCGAAAUAUUUUUUUCAAAAUUAUGGUGUGAAUUUGAGAUAAUGUUAUAGUUGUGAGUAAUAUUUAUAAAUUUUGAAAAGUAUGCAAGUUGUUGUAUAAUAUUCGAUUGGUUGGGAAAUAUUCUUUUUGUCAGGAAAUAUAUGUACAACAGUACAAUCAUUGGUGGACCCCACAGCGGAAUUAUUGUUGGAUUGAGAAAACGAUAAAAAUAUUUUUAUAAAAAUAACGGCGAAAGUGUUACCGUUAAAACUGUUGAACUACCCGGUAGUAAAAGUACAGUAAUACGCGUGGUUGCAUAGUAGCCCAUGGUAUUGAUUAUUGAUGCUUACGUAAGAAGUCACUCAGUUAUACUCAAGUAUUGCAACAGUAAUUGUUGCAUAUUAUCUCACAUUAUUUGAUUUAAUUAUUGUCGAUAUUUUAUAUAUUAUUAAAUCAAUAAUUGAGAUAACAAAGUUAAUAUUAUUAUUUGUAAUAUUAACGAUGUCUAAAAGUUCUGUCAAUGAGAGGUUUGGUCACUUAAUUGCACGUCAAUAGGGAGAAAUUCUUAUUGGAAAGUCCACUCUUUCCUGGGAACGAUUUGGUCGAUUAAUAUUGUGAAUUAUAAUAAAGGUGAUAAGUUUUAUUUUAUUAUUAUUAUAAAUGUAAUAAAAUAGAAAUUUUUUAUAUAAAACAGAAUACUUUUAUAAAAUUAUUCAUUUUAUUAGACUAUAAAUAGAAUAUAUAAUAUUUUAUUAUGCAUAGUAUUUGCAUAGUGCCUGCAUAGUAUUUGUAUAGUAAAUUUUUUUUACAUAAAACAAAAUACUUUUAUAAAGUUAUUCGUUUUAUUAGAUUAUAAAUAGAAUAUAUUAUAUUUUAUUUAAAAUAUUUUAUUUUAAUAGAAUAUUUUAUUAAUACUGCAUAGUAAAUUAAUAUGGACCGUCCGUUUAAAAGUAAAUCAAUCUGGACCGUUUAUGAAUUAGUUAUUAUUCAGUUCAUUUUCCUAUAAAUAGAAGCUCAUUCCUUCAUUAUUUCUUACGAAUUCACUGAAACUCUAGAGAGAGAAACUAUAGAGAGAAAGAAGAAAAGUAUUCUACUACUUCACUACUCCUAUAUCCAGUUUCUUCUAAGGUAAGGGGUAUUAUUUCUUUCGUAUUCAUGAAGAGAAUUAUUUUCUUUCAAUACUCGUAAGGGGUAUUAUUUCUUUUGUAUUCAUGAAGAGAACUUCUGUUAUUCCAUUCUUUAUUAUUCUGUUGGAAUAAUCUGUAUACGUGGACUACCCUAUAUUUGGUAAAAUUCUUCUGUUAUUCCAUUCUUUAUUAUUAUGUUGGAAUAACCUGUCUAUGCGAAGUACCGCAUAUAUGGUGAAAAUCUUUUUUUAUUUCAUUCUUUAUUAUUCUGUUGGAACAUCCUGUCUGUGAGUUUACGCAUGACCUGAUUCCAUUAUUUAUUAUUCUAUUGGAAUAUCCUGUCUGUGCGUUUACGCAUGACCUGGUUCCGUUAUUUAUUAUUCUGUUGGAAUAUCAUGUCUGUGCUUUACGCAUAACCUAGUUCUAUUAUUUAUCAUUCUGUUGGAACAUCCUAUCCGUGCUUUACGCAUGACCUGGUUCCAUUAUUUAUCAUUUUAUUGGAACAUCGUGUACGUGUUUUAUCAGUUUAACACUGAUAAAGGCUAAAGAUAAAUUAUUCUGCAUUAUUUUAAUCAUAAUAUUUCUUAUUGGGCUAGUUGAGCUCACCCUUUUGCUUUCAUUGUUCUCUUCAGGAAAUGAGAACGUAGCAGGGACUAGUCGGGAAACAGAGUGACGGUUCAAAUGAUAACAUUAGUAAUCCUCACUAUUCUAUGAAAUAUUGUGUUAAUAAAUGUAUUGAGGACUUAUUUUGAGUUUGAAUACUGUCUAAAAGGCAAUAUUUUUAUUAAAAC